rnacentral:tRNA from 1 species
GCAGGGUUCCCGAGUGGCCAAAGGGAUCAGACUGUAAAUCUGACGCGCAAGCUUCGGUGGUUCGAAUCCACCCCCCUGCACCA